GCUGGGCGUGGCAGUGCACGCCUGUAAUCCUAGUCAAUCUGGAGGCUGAGGCAGGAGAAUCACUUGAACCCGGGAAGCAGGGGUUGCAGUGAGCCGAGAUCGCACCACUGUACUCCAACCUGGGUAACAGAGUGAGAUUCUGUCUCAA
ensembl:misc_RNA Metazoa_SRP Metazoan signal recognition particle RNA